rnacentral:rRNA from 1 species
AUGGCGUGCGCCUUCUCCGCCUCCACCGUGUCCACGGCCGCCGCGCUCGUCGCGUCCCCGAAGCCAGCCGGGGUGCCGCAGUGCCUGUCGUUUCCCCGCGCCGCCGCCAGGCCCUCCCGCCUCGCCGCCGCCGGCUCGAGGACGGCCAGGGCCCGCAGCUUCGUCGCCCGCGCCGCAGCCGAGUACGACCUGCCGCUGGUGGGGAACAAGGCGCCGGACUUCGCGGCAGAGGCCGUGUUCGACCAGGAGUUCAUCAACGUCAAGCUAUCUGAUUACAUUGGGAAGAAGUAUGUGAUUCUUUUCUUCUACCCUCUGGACUUCACCUUCGUCUGCCCAACUGAGAUUACGGCUUUCAGCGACAGACAUGAGGAGUUCGAGAAGAUAAACACUGAAAUUCUUGGUGUUUCAGUUGAUAGUGUGUUUUCCCAUCUUGCAUGGGUGCAGACAGAGAGGAAAUCUGGUGGACUUGGUGAUCUUAAGUAUCCACUGGUUUCUGAUGUCACCAAAUCAAUCUCAAAGUCUUUUGGUGUAUUGAUCCCUGAUCAGGGAAUUGCUCUGAGAGGAUUAUUCAUCAUUGACAAGGAGGGUGUGAUUCAGCAUUCCACUAUUAACAACCUUGGUAUUGGCCGCAGUGUGGAUGAGACCUUGAGAACCCUUCAGGCUCUGCAAUACGUCCAAGAAAACCCAGACGAGGUCUGCCCGGCAGGAUGGAAACCUGGGGAAAAGUCGAUGAAGCCUGACCCUAAGGGCAGCAAGGAGUACUUCGCUGCCAUCUAG